rnacentral:misc_RNA from 1 species
GAUGAAGAACGUAGCGAAACGCGAUACGUAAUGUGAAUUGCAGAAUUCAGUGAAUCAUCGAGUCUUUGAACGCACAUUGCGCCCCCUGGUAUUCCGGGGGGCAUGCCUGUCCGAGCGUCAUUGCUGCCCUCAAGCACGGCUUGUGUGUUGGGCCUCCGUCCUCCUCCCGGGGGACGGGCCCGAAAGGCAGCGGCGGCACCGCGUCCGGUCCUCGAGCGUAUGGGGCUUCGUCACCCGCUCUUGUAGGCCCGGCCGGCGCUUGCCGACACAUCAAUCUUUUUUCCAGGUUGACCUCGGAUCAGGUAGGGAUACCCGCUGAACUUAAGCAUAUCAAUAAGCGGAGGA